rnacentral:rRNA from 1 species
AGAGUUUGAUCCUGGCUCAGGAUGAACGCUAGCGGGAGGCUUAACACAUGCAAGUCGAGGGGCAGCACGAGGUAGCAAUACUUUGGUGGCGACCGGCGCACGGGUGAGUAACGCGUAUGUAACCUACCCUGUACAGGGGGAUAGCCCGGAGAAAUUCGGAUUAAUACCCCAUAAAGAUAUAGAGUGGUAUCAUUUUAUAUUUAAAGUUCCGACGGUACGGGAUGGGCAUGCGUAACAUUAGCUAGUUGGCAGGGUAAUGGCCUACCAAGGCUGCGAUGUUUAGGGGUCCUGAGAGGGUGAUCCCCCACACUGGUACUGAGAUACGGACCAGACUCCUACGGGAGGCAGCAGUGAGGAAUAUUGGUCAAUGGGCGUAAGCCUGAACCAGCCAUCCCGCGUGCAGGAAGAAGGCGCUAUGCGUUGUAAACUGCUUUUGCAGGGGAAGAAUGUUCUGUAUGUAUACGGGAUUGACGGUACCUUGUGAAUAAGCAUCGGUUAACUCCGUGCCAGCAGUUGCGGUAAUACGGAGGAUGCGAGCGUUAUCCGGAUUUAUUGGGUUUAAAGGGUGCGUAGGCGGAUUGAUAAGUCAGUGGUGAAAUACUGCAGCUUAACUGUAGAAUUGCCGUUGAUACUGUCAGUCUUGAGUAUGGUUAAGGUAGGCGGAAUGUGUAAUGUAGCGGUGAAAUGCUUAGAUAUUACACAGAACACCGAUUGCGAAGGCAGCUUACUGAGCCAAAACUGACGCUGAGGCACGAAAGCGUGGGGAGCGAACAGGAUUAGAUACCCUGGUAGUCCACGCCGUAAACGAUGAUCACUUGCUGUUAGCGAUACACUGUUAGCGGCUAAGCAAAAGCAUUAAGUGAUCCACCUGGGGAGUACGACCGUAAGGUUGAAACUCAAAGGAAUUGAUGG